rnacentral:rRNA from 1 species
CAGCAGCCCGAGUGGUGAUCCUUUUUAUUGGGCCUAAAGCGUCCGUAGCCGGACUAGUAAAUCCUUGGGUAAAUCGUACCGCUUAACGGUACGAAUUCUGGGGAGACUGCUAGUCUUGGAACUGGGAGAGGUCGGAGGUACUCCAGGGGUAGGGGUGAAAUCCUGUAAUCCUUGGGGGACCACCAGUGGCGAAGGCGUCCGACUAGAACGGAUUCGACGGUGAGGGACGAAGCCGUGGGUCACAAACCGGAUUAGAUACCCGCGUAGUCC